UACGGCCACAUUGCGUUGAAAUACUAGUUCCCGGGCGACCACCACAGUUAAGCAACGUUGAGUCUAGUCAGUACCUAGAUGGGUGACCGCUUGGGAAUACCAGCU